CAGCCGCCGCGGUAAUACAGAGGGUGCGAGCGUUAAUCGGAUUUACUGGGCGUAAAGCGUGCGUAGGCGGCUUCUUAAGUCGGAUGUGAAAUCCCUGAGCUUAACUUAGGAAUUGCAUUCGAUACUGGGAAGCUAGAGUAUGGGAGAGGAUGGUAGAAUUCCAGGUGUAGCGGUGAAAUGCGUAGAGAUCUGGAGGAAUACAGAUGGCGAAGGCAGCCAUCUGGCCUAAUACUGACGCUGAGGUACGAAAGCAUGGGGAGCAAACAGGAUUAGAUACCCCGGUAGUCCCUGUCUCUUAUAC
rnacentral:rRNA from 1 species